GAUGUUGCCACCUAAAAUGUUGCCUUAGAUGCUUAAAAUUUGAUUGAAGCAGGUGUAUGCCACCAUCGCAUUUUCGGUGUUGCCAUUAAUAAGAUAAAUGUUGUCAUAACUAAAACAAACCCUCAAUGCCAACAUUUUGUGCGAUGUUACCUUAAAGAUGUGUUAAAAUUAAUAGGAGGGAAACAACCCGCCUUUUCAACUCUGAAUUUUUUAAAAAUAAAUUAUGCAACCGCCCAUCCCAUCACUCACACAGAUAAAACAUAACAAUAAAAUUAAAACUAAAACCAAUUCUUUCUCUCGGCUCACUCUCGCUCUCUCUCGCAUCUCUCACUAUCUAUCUCGCAUCUCUCGCAUUUCACAUCUCUCAUUCAUCUCUCCCAUCUCAUUCUUUCAUUCCUUUCAUCUCUCUCAUCUCACUCUUUCAUCUCUCGAAGCUUGUCUCGGAGCUUAUCUCGCUGCUUAUACAAGGAAAGGGUCCGACGAUUAUAUACAGGAAGCUUAUCUCGGUGUUUUAGUUCUUGUCUCGGAGCUCAGUAACUUUCUUCUCGUAGCUUGAAUUUGGUCCGACUAUAACAUUAUAAGGGAUAUACAAGAGACUUAUCUUCUCUUGAUCAUGAAGGAAGAAGACAUACUAAAGGUUCUUCGAUUGUUUGAAGGAGACACUGAAAGAAAAAAUAUUAGUGAAGUAUAUAUCUUUAAGGAAGUGGAUGGUAGCGAAAACUCAUGGUUUUUCUCUUAAAUAAUAUUAGCAUGUCAUACAUCAUUUGAAGAAAAUUAUCUUGGUGAACCUAUCCUUCCUGGUUGCUCUUGCCUGGUGCCUUUUGAUGGGCAACAGAACAUCCAAUAUUUAAGGAAUCAUGCAAGCUAUUGUGAUGCACCCGUUUGACAUAGGCGACCACUACAUCAUUAAUAACGACCAGGAAAAAUAAUGAGAAGAUAAAUUAUCCGAAUUUCGUGUUACUUUCGAAAUGGUGACUAUUUUGAUUGAAAAGAUUCGGGAUCAAAUUGCGCAAAAGAUGGAAGAAAAAGUGGACAAGAAGGUUCGAGAUAAUGUCAAGUUGUUGAUGUCCAAACAGGCAGAACAAAUUCCAGAAUUGAAGCUCGAUAUUGUAGAGCUAACUGCUGCAGUGCCGAAUGCUUCAGCCGUAGGUGAUCACCAUGACGACAUUACUUCAUAAAAUUUGGUCUGUGGAAUUUUAGUAUUGUGAUAAUAUUUUAGUAUCGAUAGAAUUUUAGUAUUUGCAGAAUUUUAGUAAGUUGUAGUAAAAUUAUGUGGAAUUUGUAUUGUGGAGUUUGGAUUUAACUAUGUUAUGGCUUGUUGGUUUAGUCAAUAUUAUUUAACGU